UACGUAGGGUGCAAGCGUUGUCCGGAAUUAUUGGGCGUAAAGAGCGUGUAGGCGGCCUCGUAAGUCCGCUGUGAAAGCCCGGAGCUUAACUCCGGAGGGUCGGUGGAUACUGCCAGUCUUGAAGGUGCUAGGGGGAGAUGGAAUUACCGGUGUAGCGGUGAAAUGCGUAGAUAUCGGUAGGAACACCAGUGGCGAAGGCGGUCUCCUGGGGCAUUCUUGACGCUGAGGCGCGAAAGCUGGGGGAGCAAACGGG
rnacentral:rRNA from 1 species